UGGGGAAUCUUGGACAAUGGGCGCAAGCCUGAUCCAGCCAUGCCGCGUGAGUGAAGAAGGCCUUAGGGUUGUAAAGCUCUUUUGGCAGGGACGAUAAUGACGGUACCUGCAGAAUAAUCCCCGGCAAACUUCGUGCCAGCAGCCGCGGUAAUACGAAGGGGGCUAGCGUUGUUCGGAUUUACUGGGCGUAAAGCGCACGUAGGCGGAUUGUUAAGUCAGGGGUGAAAUCCCGGAGCUCAACUCCGGAACUGCCUUUGAUACUGGCAAGCUUGAGGAUAGAAGAGGUUGGUAUAAUUCCCAGUGUAGAGGGGAAAUUCGUAGAUAUUGGGAAGAAUACCAGGGGCGAAGGCGGCCAACUGGUCCAGAUCUGACGCUGAGGUGCGAAAGCGUGGGGAGCAAACA
rnacentral:rRNA from 1 species